rnacentral:rRNA from 1 species
CCUACGGGUGACAGCAGUGGGGAAUAUUGGGCAAUGGGCGCAAGCCUGACCCAGCAACGCCGCGUGAAGGAAGAAGGCUUUCGGGUUGUCAACUUCUUUUGUCAGGGACGAAGCAAGUGACGGUACCUGACGCAUAAGCCACGGCUAACUACGUGCCAGCAGCCGCGGUAAUACGUAGGUGGCAAGCGUUAUCCGGAUUUAUUGGGUGUAAAGGGCGUGUAGGCGGGAAAGCAAGUCAGAUGUGAAAACUCAGGGCUCAACCCUGAGCCUGCAUUUGAAACUGUUUUUCUUGAGUGCUGGAGAGGCAAUCGGAAUGCCGUGGGUAGCGGUGAAAUGCGUAGAUAUACGGAGGAACACCAGUGGCGAAGGCGGAUUGCUGGACAGUAACUGACGCUGAGGCGCGAAAGCGUGGGGAGCAAACAGGAUUAGAUACCCGUGUAGUC